rnacentral:rRNA from 1 species
AACGAACGCUGGCGGCAGGCCUAACAUAUGCAAGUCGAACGCCGUAGCAAUACGGAGUGGCAGACGGGUGAGUAACGCGUGGGAACAUGCCCUUCGGUUCGGAAUAACUCAGGGAAACUUGAGCUAAUACCGGAUACGUCCAAGGCUUGCUUUCGAGAAAGAUUUAUCGCGGGAGGAUUGGCCCGCGUCUGAUUAGCUAGUUGGAGGGGUAAUGGCUCACAAAGGCGACGAUCAGUAGCUGGUCUGAGAGGAUGAUCAGCCACAUAGGGACUGAGACAAGGCUCAAACUCGGUCGGGAGGAAGCAGUGGGAAAUAUUGGACAAUGGGCGCAAGCCUGAUCCAGCCAUGCCGGGUGAGUGAUGAUGGCCCUAGGGUUGUAAAGCUCUUUUGCCCGGGAAGAUAAUGACGGUACCGGGAGAAUAAGCCCCGGCUAACUUCGUGCCAGCCGCCGCAGUAAAAC